GAAGGAUGGCUUCUACCUGCAAGAAUAUUUUCAUUGGGAGCAUGGUGGGAUCUUACUGCAAAGUUCCCUAUAAUGUGCUCUUUUCAUCCUAAGGAACACAAACAAUCCUAAGGAUGGAAGUACUUAAAUCGGGACUUGGGCUAUGAACAGGUGAUGUUCUACCCAGGUUAAUUAAGGAUUGGAUACAUAUGUAGGCCUGUAUGAUCAAGGACUAUCUUAACUGGCCACAUGCCCUGGAUAUGGGACAGGGUAAGCUUGAACCCGGCUAUUCCAUACAUGAAAAGACAAUCGCGCACUGGGAGUGGAGAGAUGGCGAGAGUGGCACGUACCCUCCUGGCAAAGGACCGCCUAAAAAGGGUGGUGUGCUCUCGGGUGGCGCGGACCUGUUCAUGCAGUGGAGGAUCCGUGGGAAUGGUUGACAUAUGCAAGGGUUAAGUGCUACAUAUGUCGUGUGGUUAGAGAUCCUCAGCUGAGUAAAUCGAUUCGGAUCGCCGUUAUAUCCCCGGAGAGUGGAGACUUGAUCGCUGCCCUGCAACCUAAGUCAGGAUGUAAACAUUAUGAAUAAAAAUGAUGUUGUAUUGAUGAGAUGGUGAAAUUAGACUAGAUGCUACCAGAGUCUAUUAAUAUUUAAUCUGGCGUUAAAAUAUUGAAAGUAAGGACUCACUUUAGCAGGCUAUUUCUGCAAAAGUAUCUAAGUUGAUUCUUGCUAAAGCCUUUUCCUUGAUUCCUAUUUAACCAGCAUAUCCUUGAGAGUCAUUUUUCCUUAGUCGGGUAAGACUUGCGAAAGUACACUCCGUACUCAGGGUUUUCGAACCCAUGUUGCUGUAGGUGAUGAGGAGUACUCUAUGUGUUCGUGAGGCUGGAGGGCGCUUCCAGUUCUAGAGGAGGAUUAGUUAGGCUUAUGUAUAAGCUUUGGAGGGUUCCUACCUUCCUGCUAUUGUAAUAAGUUAUGCACUUUGAGUAUAUCAGGACUUGUAAUAAAUGUAACUCUUCCUAUGUAAUAACCUUCAGUUUUAGAAAUAAAAAGAAUGUUUUGUGAAGUCUUUCGCUCUUAUCUUCGAAGUGUGUGUAUCAAAUGUGAUUACUGUAAUAUGCAUGUAUGGUGGGAGAUCCUUGGGAUGAUGAGUUCAAGUUGUUGAACUCGUGAUAGCCUUGUUAAGUUACCUGGUACACGUGCAUAGCCAUCUGAGGCCAUCAAGGCAAGGAUUGGUGCACGUGGGCCCGAUAACUUGGGAGGGCUGCCACAGAUUGGUAUCGGAGCGAUCCCCCAUUAUCAUGGAUAUUAAAGUAAUCCUUUGAUAUACUUCAAAAGGAUUUUGAGUUCAAAUUAUUUUGGAAAAACUUAAGAAUAUGAUCAAAUCCUGAUAGUCGAAGUGCAAAUAGUAUAUAGUUAAGAUAAGGACUAUAAGGUGGCUUAGUUUAGGAUGCUAACCACUAACCCACAACUAUAAUGUAAUUUUCUGCAGGUACACUAACUAAACCCUAGGAAAGUGCGACUAGUGUUCAAUAACGGAGUGAGUAGGUAUGCCACCGCCAUAGAACGUGAUAGCCACUAUAUGUUGGCAAGAAUUGUCAGGACGAAUAGGUCGAGCAUGCAUCAUGACAUACAAUUUUAAGUUAAGCCCCCUAUAUAGUAGCUUAGUACAUGUUUCAUUCAUCCUAUUCAUGCUACCUAUCUUUGCUUUUCUAUACUACCUUUUCCUAUUCGUGAAGCCUUGGAACUCAGCUCAUUUGGUGGACCAGUAGUUUAUAAGGUAUAGUUGCAAAAAAAAUUGUCAACAGUGCACAACAUGUUCCACGUGUCCCAGUUAAAGAAAUGUUUUCGAGUCCCCGCGCAUGUUAUUGGGAUUUCAGGUGUCAAUAUUGAACCAGAUUUAACCUACUUGGAAUAUCCCAUAAGGGUGUUGGAUCUAAAGGAUCAGGUCACUCGAAGAAAAGCUAUCAUGUUUUACUAGGUACAGUGGAACCAACACCCGGAAGAUAAACCAUAUAGGAAUCGGAGGAGUAUUUAGAAAAACAUUUUCCUGAGUUCUUAGUUUCAUCUAAGCCGUACGUUUUAUGUAGUUGUUUUUUUUAUGUGAACCAACAAGGAUACACCCCCUGUCUUGUAGGAGUAAUGGGAAAUAAGCCAGUGACACAUUUCCUUUUCCAUUACCUAGCCUAGAGUUUUAAAUCUCGGGACGAGAUUUCUUUUAGGGGGGAAGACUGUAACACCCCUGGUGUUACGUUAACUAAAACUCUGACAUGUCAUCAUAAGCAUUUGCAUUAUCUUGUUUGAUAUACCUAGAAUGCAUUCACUAGGUCAAAAAAUUUUCAUUGAAUGUGGUGUUGUGUAUUAGAGUACAGGGCUCAGAUUAAGAACUUUGCUUAAGACAUGGGAAGAAAAGUCGUCUCUUGAGCAAGUAAUAAGUUGGCUUGGAAUUUAAAGUAUUAAAGGUAAGACUUAGAACCUAGAGCAACUUUGUUUUCAAAGGGAGAUUAAGUGGAAGGAACACUUGAGCUCAAGGAUCAACUUAGAAACCUUAAUGUAAGGGUUGAAAGUUUGUUUGCAAUUAUGUGUAAGCAAACAACUCCUAAACCAAGGAUACCUUGGACCUGAGUUCUAUAAGAUAAAGUUGAAUUUGAGAUUAAGAAGCAACUUUGCUUUAGGAGGAUGGAUAAGUUUGCUUUUGAUAUGUGGAUUAUAAGUGGUGAAGUACUUGGGGUGGUUGAGUAUCUCUAACCCCUAAACUGGAGCCCAAAAGUGGAUUUGGAGAUCUAGCCACAUUUUGCAAGAGGUAAAAAUACCAAGUUGGUAGGAUUUCCAAAGUUGCACAAUUUUGUUAUUUGGAGAUUUCCAUGUUGUGUGGAGAAAUUUGGAGAAAUUCACAAAGGUUCAGUUUUAGAGUUCCUGAAAAUAGCAGCAACUAGGCAAUUUUAGUCCUUUGUAACUUUUGAUCUAGAACCAUUUUGAAGAUGAUCAUUAUAACAAAGUUAUAGAGCUACAUGAGGAGUAUAAGUUUGGUUAAGUCACCUAGCACUAAAACUGUUUGGAACUUAGAGAAAACCUGGUCCAAAGUAAAGCUGUCAGAAAUUGUAGGUUUCAAACUUAGUGAAAUUCAGAUCCUGAAUUUCAGCAAUUGGAGCAAACUUUGGACUAUUGUAGUUUGGAAUCCAAGAGGUUUUGGUUAAUGACCAUUAUAGAAACAUUGUAGAAUAAGUACAGGAGAGAAACUUUUAUUAAGUGUGACAGCCCUGGAACUAUAUACAACUAGGAGAAAAGGUGAUCCAAAGUGAGGUUGUCAGACUUUUUGAGUUUUUAGAUUGGGAACAGUGAACUGAAACUAAGAUUUCAGUAUAUAUAGCUGUUUUUGGAGCUCAAUUGUGUCUAAUCCAUGAGGUUUUGGGCUGUUGAAUAUAUAGAGGAAUUAAAGACCAUAUGAUGGUGAAUAAGUCUCCUUAAGUGACUUUGGUUUGAUCCUACACAAAAGUUGGAAAGAAAGCUUGCUCAAGGUUAGACUGACAGACAGUGCUUUAAUUGCAUUUGGUUCAGUUCUGAAAUCUGAAAUUUGUUGUUUGGUGCCAAGUUUGGAGCCCUUUUGUGGUUGUUAUAUAAGGUUUUGGACUGAGGUUUUUGUAGUGUAAGUGAAGACCACCCAAUGGUGAACAACUGUAUUAAAGGAUGAUGCACAUGAUCCCAAAUAAAAAGUGGUGUAACAGCUGCUCAAAGUUUGACUAUCAGGUGGCUAGCGACAGUCUAUUCAAAGCUGAAAUCUGGAAUUUCAGUGAAGAGUGCCUAGUUUGGAGUGCUUUUGUAAUUAAUCCAUGUGGUUUUGGGCUAAGAACUGUGUGGAGAAGUUGUAGUCCACUGUACCGAGAACAAGUUUUAUCAAGUAAGAUAGCCUUGGUGCUGCACAAAAAGAGGAGUAAAAGUGGCUCCAAGUUGUGCUGUCAGGCUUAGGAGGAGAGAAAUUCAGUUAGCUGUUCCUAAAGAAUUCAGUGUGCUUUUACUCACCUUUGGAGCUCUGUGGUAAUUAAUCCAUGGAGAUUUUUAUUAAGAGCUCUAUGGCAAAGUUAAAGACCAUUUGAAGGAGAACAAGUUUAUGCAAAUAAUUGGUCUUGUUAUUGUGUGUAAUUUGGAGAUAAUAGUGUUACAAAACUUACUCUGUCAGACUGAGUGGUGUGAUGUUUCAGAUUUCUGAAACUGAAAUUUCAGUGACAUUGGCUAUAUUUUAGGGUACCAUAACUUUUGUUUUAUAUGCUUUUAGUUAUGGGUUGCUAUACAAAAGACAUAUAGCUAUGAAUAUAGAAUAACUUUGGUGAAGAGAUAGUGGUCUGUUGCUAUGAAGAAUUGGGAGAUCAGAGGGCCUGAACUGGGAGGAAUGGAAUGAAGCAGCAGGCUGAUACAAUUGAGUUCAAUGUGGCAUUCGAAUUCUGAAGAAGAUCACUUCCUCUCUGUUAGGUUACUCGAGUAUUGGAUGGAGUCAAGGUUGAGAUACAUCACUAUGGGUCUAGGGGCCUUAUUUGCUGCUGGGAAAAUAGCAGAUUUGGACUGUUUUGGUGGGCAGUGAGGCCUUAUCUGUUGGAUCUGUGGUGGAAUUAACUAGACAGCAAAAAUCCAGUGGUUUCAUGCCUUCACCCCAGUAGCAAAUAUCAAGUUUUGGACCAUAGUGCAUACCCAAGUGGGAGACUUAUCUACUCCCUUUCCUAUCUGUUUACCGAACGAAGGGAUGGAUAUUUUGGCUGUGUGAGAUAGACUAAAUGCAGUGUAUUUGAGCUGUGGUUAUGAGCCUAUGUGGUGUGGGUGCAUGGGAGCCACGUACAAUAGGUCAUGCAGUGCUGGCAUUCCCACGGUUCUCCUACAUCAGGUCUGAGUUGAGCUCCAUACCCUGCCUACACAUUCAGUUGUACUUGUCCAUAUCCAGUACCCUUCGCUUGGGUUCAGUAAAGCUUCCCCUUGCCCUCAGGUUUUAGCUUGAGACCACUGCGUAAGUGCUGGAAUUCCUGUGUUCACGCUAGUACUCACCUCUCCCCAGUCACCAAACUUCGCCCCUCAGAAACUUGCACGCCAUCUUCCUGCCAGUGGUGACCAUAGCAGCAGUUUACAUCCUCACCAUGGCCAAGAUUCGUCGGAGGUUGUCUCGGUCGUGUGGUGCCCGUUCCUUGUUCCUCACAGGUCAGUGAAGCUCACACCAUUUACUGCUUGAACUCUACCACUAUUGGUUGCCUGGAACUAGGUGUGAAAUUUGCUCAAACAUAGGCUGUCAGAUUUCUGGAUCCCAGACUUAGUGCAUAAGGCUGAAACUAGGUUUUAGUGUGUUGAGCUCCACUUUGGUGCUUCAUAAAAAUUGUUCUGAAUGUUUUCAACCUAGGGGUGCUAUACCAAAGUAGUAGAGCUAUAUCUAAGGAAUAACUUUGGUAAUGUGAGUUUGGUCUGUUGCUGUGUAAAAAUUGGAGAAAAGGUUGGCUAAAGUUGGUCUAUCAGGAUGGACACACAACUGAAUUUUUAUUCAGUUCUGAGAACUGAAUUGCAGCAGGAUGCCUAGUUUGGAAUUCAUUUGUGACUGAUUCAUGGGGUUUUGGAUUAAGGGUUCCAUAGCAAAGUUGUAGACCAUAGUAAAGUGAACAAGUUUGCUAAAGUGAGAUGGACCUGGUUUCACAUAAAUUUGAGAGUAAAAGUGACCAAAAGUUUGACUGUCAGGUGGUUGGUGACUUAGUCUAUUCAGAACUGAAAGUCUGAAAUCAGUAAUUUUAGUGCAGUUUUGGAGCUGUGUAGUGCCUGUUCUAGGUGGUUUUGAACCAAAGUUUCUACAGCAAGUUUGAAGAACAUGUGUUAGAGAACAACAUCCUUUAGGUGAGUUGGGGUUGAUCCCACACACAAAGUGGUGUAAAGACUGCCCAAAGAUGGACUUUCAGUUGCGGAGACUGAAUUUCAUUCAGCUGCCUGAAAACUGAAUUUGCAAUGUGUAUUUUCAGUCUUGGAGUGUUAUACCAAAGUGGAAGAGAAAUACUUAGGGAAUAGAUUUGGUUAAGUAAGUGGGUCUCUUGUCAUUUGAGUUUAUGAGAUAAAAGGCAUUGAACAGAGGGGAGAGGAAUGGAGCAAUGGAAGAUGAAUUCAGAGAACUGAAAGCAGGUUCAAUGAAUUGUGGCUUAUUCUUGGACACUAUAACUUGUAGUUCAUGUAGGUUGGAUCCUUGCUUAAGGCAUAAAUGAAGUACUUGGUUGGUUAUGGAGGCAAGGUUUCCUAGUUUGGUUGGUGAAUUGAGUUGUGAUAUUAGAGUAUUUAGCUCUCUUAAGGUUUUGUUAGUUUUUGUGUGCACCUUUAGAGAGGUGUAAGUCUUGUGAUGCUUUUUAGUUUUUUCUUUUCAAGUUGCAUCAGCAUAAGCAUUCAUGUUCAUAUCUUUACAUGUAGAAUUCCCAGAAGAAGAUGAAAUUCAAGAAGUAGUUUCUGAAAAGGAGUUUGCUCCAGUGCCUAUUCAGCAAGUGGAUGGAGCUAUCUAAUUGGUUAUUGGGUAGAAAGGUCUUGAGCCUCUUCACUGCAACAAAGGCAAGCCCCGGUGCAUUUACCCCUUCCUUGUAUUUUUAAAAAGACUUUUAUACACUUAAGUCUAGUGAAAUGUGCAUUAAGUUUAUAGGAAUUGCUUGGAAACUAUUUGAUGCAUUGCCUACCUUGAUAUCCAUACCUUUAUAGAUACUUCUGAUGAAGUAUCAAAAUAUGAUUUACAAAAAUGCUUAGCCCUGCUUAGAUCUUGUGGAUAGAGGUUGUCCUUUGCGUUAAUGCCUAGCUCAGGGUUAUCCUGAGGAAGGAUGACUUCUACCUGCAAGAAUAUUUUCAUUGGGAGCAUGGUGGGAUCUUACUGCAAAGUUCCCUAUAAUGUGCUCUUUUCAUCCUAAGGAACACAAACAAUCCUAAGGAUGGAAGUACUUAAAUCGGGACUUGGGCUAUGAACAGGUGAUGUUCUACCCAGGUUAAUUAAGGAUUGGAUGCGUAUGUAGGCCUGUAUGAUCAAGGACUAUCUUAACUAGCCACAUGCCCUGGAUAUGGGACAGGGUAAGCUUGAAC
rnacentral:lncRNA from 1 species